UCGUUUCCUGAAUCGGAGCAAAGGCCAGUACUCUCCUUUGUGUCGGCACGACGAUCGAAAGUCUUCGUGCCGGAGUCGCAUUGAAAGUCAGUUUUUGUGGUCAGUCGUUAAGCCGUCGUUGAACAGUGAAUAAUAAAUUAGUGCUCCGUUGCUCGCGGUCAAAUUGAAGGCGUACUUUUUCACGCUUGGCUCGAUCGUCUUCCCUUAGCUGCGUAGUAACAAGGUCGGUCGGUGCGCGGAAGUGCGCGGAAGGCCAUUCUGGUAGAGCGGAGCACGUGUCGUCUAGUCGAGCCGAAAAGCCGUGCGGUCUAGUUGGAAUUCGUCGAGUGCCGAAUAUAAUAAGAAUUUUCAACAGACAUCACAAUGUUCGCUUAUGUCAAAUUUGAAGACGGACAUAAAAGUAUUAUCAAAACGUCGGAAAUAAAACAUUUUAAACCAGACUGUGUAAAUCAAAGAAAGAAAUAUAAGGUUCGUUGGGAGGAUUAAGACUUCUACGACGCAUUGAUCAUUGAUGUAGCUGGUUAGUA
rnacentral:lncRNA from 13 species